rnacentral:lncRNA from 1 species
GAAAAGCUGGGCAAAAGGCUGAGAAAGCAAAGGCUGCUACUCCCAUGGCUAUCCCGGCUGCUAAGCCUGCUAAGCUGAUUAAGGAUGUGAAACCCAAAGAAGAUGGUGACGAUGAAUCAGAUGAUGAAGAUGACUCAGAUGAUGAGAUGGUUGAUGGAGAUGAUUCUGAUGAGGUAGCUAUCACUUUCUUGGUGUGAAAUGUCUUUUUAGCAGUAUUCCUUGUUAUCAGAAAAUUUAAUGGCAUUUUUUUACGUCGAGUAGAUUUCUGGUGAGGAUGAUUCUGAUGAUGACGACGAGGAUGAUUCAGAAGAUGAUGAAGACUCAGAUGAAGAUGAGAAGACACCUAAGAAG